AGAACGAACGCUGGCGGCAGGCUUAACACAUGCAAGUCGAGCGCCCCGCAAGGGGAGCGGCAGACGGGUGAGUAACGCGUGGGAACAUACCCUCCGGUUCGGAAUAGCUCAGGGAAACUUGGAUUAAUACCGGAUACGGCCUAGCGGCGAAAGAUUGAUCGCCGGAGGAUUGGCCCGCGUCUGAUUAGCUAGUUGGUGGGGUAAUGGCCCACCAAGGCGACGAUCAGUAGCUGGUCUGAGAGGAUGAUCAGCCACAUUGGGACUGAGACACGGCCCAAACUCCUACGGGAGGCAGCAGUGGGGAAUAUUGGACAAUGGGCGCAAGCCUGAUCCAGCCAUGCCGCGUGAGUGAUGACGGCCUUAGGGUUGUAAAGCUCUUUUGUGCGGGAAGAUAAUGACGGUACCGCAAGAAUAAGCCCGGCUAACUUCGCGCCAGCAGCCGC
rnacentral:rRNA from 1 species